rnacentral:rRNA from 1 species
UACAGAGGUCCCAAGCGUUGUUCGGAUUCACUGGGCGUAAAGGGUGCGUAGGCGGUCGGGUAAGUCUGAUGUGAAAUCUCACAGCUUAACUGUGAGACUGCAUUGGAUACUAUUCGGCUUGAGAGUUGGAGAGGGGACUGGAAUUCUUGGUGUAGCAGUGAAAUGCGUAGAUAUCAAGAGGAACACCAGUGGCGAAGGCGAGUCCCUGGACAACUUCUGACGCUGAGGCACGAAAGCUAGGGGAGCAAACAGG